rnacentral:lncRNA from 1 species
GUGACCAGGAACUAGGACAGGCAGUAAGUGGGAGAGAAUGACGGCAAGCCUGGAGCUGUCCCAGAGGUGACUGACGGAUGCUGUACAAGGUGGAAUAUUUUGAUAAUGUGAGAUUCCAAGCUUGAGGCUUUAGGGAGGAGGAAGGAGAAGCAGUCUACAGGUGACUGUGAGGAGUCGGGGAGAGCGCAGCCCUCAUUGGAAAGGGCAGCAGGGAGCGGGUUGUCUGGGGCGGGGCAGUGGGACAUGGUGUCCUCCGAAGUGCCUGCCUAGCUCAGUGCCAGGCACACAGCAG